rnacentral:rRNA from 1 species
GGCGAGUGAAGCGGCAACAGCUCAAAUUUGAAAUCUGGCUCUUUCAGAGUCCGAGUUGUAAUUUGCAGAGGGCGCUUUGGCGUUGGCAGCGGUCCAAGUUCUUUGGAACAGGACGUCACAGAGGGUGAGAAUCCCGUACGUGGUCGCUAUCCUUCGCCGUGUAAAGCCCCUUCGACGAGUCGAGUUGUUUGGGAAUGCAGCUCUAAAUGGGAGGUAAAUUUCUUCUAAAGCUAAAUACUGGCCAGAGACCGAUAGCGCACAAGUAGAGUGAUCGAAAGAUGAAAAGCACUUUGGAAAGAGAGUCAAAUAGCACGUGAAAUUGUUGAAAGGGAAGCGCUUGCAGCCAGACUUGCCUGUAGUUGCUUAUCCGGACUUUUGUCCGGUGCACUCUUCUAUAGGCAGGCCAGCAUCAGUUUGGGCGGUUAGAUAAAGGUCUCUGUCAUGUACCUCUCUUCGGGGAGGCCUUAUAGGGGAGACGACAUGUAACCAGCCCAGACUGAGGUCCGCGCAUCUGCUAGGAUGCUGGCGUAAUGGCUGUAAGCGGCCCGUCUUGAAACACGGACCAAGGAGUCUAACAUCUAUGCGAGUGUUUGGGUGUCAAGCCCAGACGCGUAAUGAAAGUGAACGGAGGUAGGAACCCUUUGGGUGCACUAUCGACCGAUCCUGAUGUCUUCGGAAGGAUUUGAGUAAGAGCAUGGCUGUUGGGACCCGAAAGAUGGUGAACUAUGCUUGAAUAGGGUGAAGCCAGAGGAAACUCUGGUGGAGGCUCGCAGCGGUUCUGACGUGCAAAUCGAUCGUCAAA